GCAGACGGCGGAGAGCAGAGAGGGAGCGCGCCUUGGCUCGCUGGCCUUGGCGGCGGCUCCUCAGGAGAGCUGGGGCGCCCACGAGAGGAUCCCUCACCCGGGUCUCUCCUCAGGGAUGACAUCAUCCGUCCACCUCCUUGUCUUCAAGGACCACCUCCUCUCCAUGCUGAGCUGCUGCCAAGGGGCCUGCUGCCCAUCUACACCUCACGAGGGCACUAGGAGCACGGUUUCCUGGAUCCCACCAACAUACAAAGCAGCCACUCACUGACCCCCAGGACCAGGAUGGCAAAGGAUGAAGAGGACCGGAACUGACCAGCCAGCUGUCCCUCUUACCUAAAGACUUAAACCAAUGCCCUAGUGAGGGGGCAUUGGGCAUUAAGCCCUGACCUUUGCUAUGCUCAUACUUUGACUCUAUGAGUACUUUCCUAUAAGUCUUUGCUUGUGUUCACCUGCUAGCAAACUGGAGUGUUUCCCUCCCCAAGGGGGUGUCAGUCUUUGUCGACUGACUCUGUCAUCACCCUUAUGAUGUCCUGAAUGGAAGGAUCCCUUUGGGAAAUUCUCAGGAGGGGGACCUGGGCCAAGGGCUUGGCCAGCAUCCUGCUGGCAACUCCAAGGCCCUGGGUGGGCUUCUGGAAUGAGCAUGCUACUGAAUCACCAAAGGCACGCCCGACCUCUCUGAAGAUCUUCCUAUCCUUUUCUGGGGGAAUGGGGUCGAUGAGAGCAACCUCCUAGGGUUGUUGUGAGAAUUAAAUGAGAUAAAAGAGGCCUCAGGCAGGAUCUGGCAUAGAGGAGGUGAUCAGCAAAUGUUUGUUGAAAAGGUUUGACAGGUCAGUCCCUUCCCACCCCUCUUGCUUGUCUUACUUGUCUUAUUUAUUCUCCAACAGCACUCCAGGCAGCCCUUGUCCACGGGCUCUCCUUGCAUCAGCCAAGCUUCUUGAAAGGCCUGUCUACACUUGCUGUCUUCCUUCCUCACCUCCAAUUUCCUCUUCAACCCACUGCUUCCUGACUCGCUCUACUCCGUGGAAGCACGCUCACAAAGGGCUAAUCUCGGGCCUUGUCGAAGGAAGAGGCUGCAGACGUUAAUGAGGUUAGCUGCUGGAUUCCAGUAUUCGUCGCAUAAGGAUCCUUCUUUGUCUGCGAAGGAAAAACACACUGAUUAUCAUAAUGAGUUCCUGACCUGGCCAUCCCGGGGUGCCCUUGACCAGCCCCGUGUCUCCUCAGGGUGUCCCAGCACCAGCCUGGCACAGAGUGGGGCUCAGUUAGAGUAUGUGGGAUGUUGGUUUCGCCAGGCACGUGGGCCGUGGCCCGGCUGGGUCGGCUGAAGAACUGCGGAUGGAAGCUGCGGAAGAGGCCCUGAUGGGGCCCACCAUCCCGGACCCAAGUCUUCUUCCUGGCGGGCCUCUCGUCUCCUUCCUGGUUUGGGCGGAAGCCAUCACCUGGAUGCCUACGUGGGAAGGGACCUCGAAUGUGGGACCCCAGCCCCUCUCCAGCUCGAAAUCCCUCCACAGCCACGGGGACACCCUGCACCUAUUCCCACGGGACAGGCUGGACCCAGAGACUCUGGACCCGGGGCCUCCCCUUGAGUAGAGACCCGCCCUCUGACUGAUGGACGCCGCUGACCUGGGGUCAGACCCGUGGGCUGGACCCCUGCCCACCCCGCAGGAACCCUGAGGCCUAGGGGAGCUGUUGAGCCUUCAGUGUCUGCAUGUGGGAAGUGGGCUCCUUCACCUACCUCACAGGGCUGUUGUGAGGGGCGCUGUGAUGCGGUUCCAAAGCACAGGGCUUGGCGCACCCCACUGUGCUCUCAAUAAAUGUGUUUCCUGUCUUAACAAAAA
ensembl:lncRNA MEG3 maternally expressed 3